CAGCAGGUUCUCUGUCACUCUACAGACAAAAUACCCUAUGCAACACCUUACUACUGGAGGCCUGGAGACAAGGAGAUUACGGUAGGUGCUAAGCAGAUAAUAAGGUCACAAGUUUGGUUGGACUCAGUGGAGCAUCACUGACAUCUUCGGAUGGACUUUGAUCAAGUCAUGCUGCCACGUGGGCAGCAGGAUUGGGCUGCAACUGCUACCUGCUGUGUUGGGCUGCUGUGGUUUUCCUAGGACUUGGACUUGGCUGGCACAAGCAAAGGAUGUUUGCAGCCAGUUUGGCAGGUUCAGAAGAUAAUCCUUCACACCUUUUGGCUUUAAAUAAAUCACUUUUUGUACAGAGA